rnacentral:rRNA from 1 species
AGUGAACGCUGGCGGUAGGCCUAACACAUGCAAGUCGAACGGCAGCACAGUAAGAGCUUGCUCUUACGGGUGGCGAGUGGCGGACGGGUGAGGAAUACAUCGGAAUCUACUUUUUCGUGGGGGAUAACGUAGGGAAACUUACGCUAAUACCGCAUACGACCUACGGGUGAAAGCAGGGGAUCUUCGCACCUUGCGCGAUUGAAUGAGCCGAUGUCGGAUUAGCUAGUUGGCGGGGUAAAGGCCCACCAAGGCGACGAUCCGUAGCUGGUCUGAGAGGAUGAUCAGCCACCCUGGAACUGGGACACGGUCCAGACUCCUACGGGAGGCAGCAGUGGGGAAUAUUGGACAAUGGGCGCAAGCCUGAUCCAGCCAUACCGCGUGGGUGAAGAAGGCCUUCGGGUUGUAAAGCCCUUUUGUUGGGAAAGAAAAGCAGCAGGUUAAUACCCCGCUGUUCUGACGGUACCCAAAGAAUAAGCACCGGCUAACUUCGUG